UUGGGUUGCCGAAAACAUAAUUAUUGAUGACAAUUAUGAAAUUAGUUAAUCAAUUAUGUUAAUAAUUGUUAUGUUAAUUGACUAACAACCGGCCCUUAGGGCCGGUUUUUCGAACGCUAAUCAACAUUGAUCACUAUCAAAUAUUUAAUUACUGUCACAACUGUCAAUGUCAACUUUCGGUUGGGUUGCUGAAAACAUAGUUAAUUAUAAUUAUGAGAUUAGUUAGUCAAUUAACAUAACAAUUAUUAACAUAAUUGAUUAACUAAUUUCAUAAUUGUCAUCAAUAAUUAUGUUUUCGGCAACCCAACCAAAGUUGACAUUGUGACACAAGAAUCUACAGGUCGAGCAAGUCUCGUAAAUUUCACGAUUGCGAGCCACGCUUCACGCAACCGUGUUUGCGUACUUGUGUUUCGAGUUGCGUGGUCGUGCGGAGUUAUAUUUACCAAAUUUAAAUAUAAUCGUUUCUACUGAUUCAUACGCCAUACGCUGUCAAAAUUAAAUCAAUAUGUCAAUAUGGCUACUGGGUGUAAAAGAUAAAUCUUAUUCUAUCUGUUCUUAAUGAGUUUUAGAUAAUUUUAGUUGUAUUUCUUUGUAAUUUUGUGUUGUACAAAGAUUAAUUUAACAUUUUCUCUGGAAGUAUUAAUUUAGAAAGAUAAUAUGCUUCAUUGGUGUUGUGUUUUGAAGUGUGAAAUGCAAAGUAAUUGUGAUAAAGUCAAGAUAAAGUUCACUUUUAAACUGAACUAAAUAAGGUAUCUGAGAGACAACAAUGGUUAAAUGCAAUACAAUGUACAGGUUUUACUAGCGAAAUGAAAAUUUUCCUGUCCUGUCUGCUGUAAUCAUUUUAUAUCUGGAAAACCAGCCGACUUAAUCGAUAAUAACAAUCUCCAGAUUGGGUUCCUUCAAUAAAUAUGGGCUAUUAAUACAAUGAAAUAAGUUCCAGAAAAUCUAAAAUGGAGUGGUAUCAAAGGAGAAUUAAAGGAAAAAAUAUUCAUAUUGAAAUUAUUUAUAAGGCACUGGACUGUCUUAAAUUCUACAAUAAUACUAGAAUCAGCUGAGAGAAGUGGUCUACAAAAAACCAGGAAGGAAACGGAAUAUGUGGCUACGAAAGGCAAAAGAAAGGUUUACAAAGCAAAUGUGACACAUUUUUUUGAAAUAUGUAGGAAUAUCAGUAAAUUGCAUUAAAAAAAUGUAUGAAAAGAUUUUGUUCAAUAAAAAUGUUUAUAUUUA